GCAUCAGUGGUUCAGUGGUAGAAUUCUUGCCUUUCAUGCUAGAGACCUGGGUUCAAUUCCUGGGCAGUGCC
rnacentral:tRNA from 1 species